rnacentral:lncRNA from 1 species
AACAAUCCUUUUUGGUAUGGCUUGAUGUCGCUUAUAUUGCUCUGUCAUAAAUGUUCCCAAUAACCUCUUUUCCUUUUGUUUCAGCAGAUCUCCAUUACCAGUUGUGGUUUUUGGGACUCAAAAAGUUAAAACUGCACCACUGAGAAGCUGAAGAGGAUGUAGAAUUGCAUUUGUAGCAAAUAUUGCCCUUGAUAUUUCACACAAGCACAACCUGCAACACAUCAGGAAGGUUUGCUGAGACACGACUUGUGGGGUUAUUUUUCCAGGGAAGACAGUGAGGAGUUCAACGUCAACAGCAAAAGGCAGAGCCCAGGAUGCCUCUCUACUUGGAGGGUGCUGACUGAAAACUUAGCUUUGCCCUCCCAAUAAACCAGCUCAUUUUGGAGCACGGCGCUUCCUUCGGUUUGCCUUUGUCCAAAGAGAGGAUUUUUUCAAUUAGGGUCCCUUUAGAUGGAAUUUUACAUGGCAGAAACCUUGUCACCGGAAGGAUUAAUGUCAGCAUUAGCAUUUCGACAAUAAAAUACAUAUAUUCGAAGCUAAUUGGUGAAUGCCCACGGACAGUCUCAAACCUGGAUUCCUCGGCUCAGCAUUCAGCGUUGGAAUUUUUAAUUACUUG